AAGAUACUAGUAAAAUAUAUUACACUGCCUUGUCAGGGCAGAAUCGUGAGUUAAACCCUCGCGUAUCUUA
rnacentral:tRNA from 1 species